AUUGAACGCUGGCGGCAUGCCUUACACAUGCAAGUCGAACGGUAACAGGUUAAGCUGACGAGUGGCGAACGGGUGAGUAAUGUAUCGGAACGUGCCCAGUCGUGGGGGAUAACUACUCGAAAGAGUGGCUAAUACCGCAUACGACCUGAGGGUGAAAGCGGGGGACCGUAAGUCCUCGCGCGAUUGGAGCGGCCGAUAUCAGAUUAGCUAGUUGGUGGGGUAAAAGCCCACCAAGGCGACGAUCUGUAGCUGGUCUGAGAGGACGACCAGCCACACUGAGACUGAGACACGGCCGAGACUCCUACGGGAGGAAGCAGUGGGUAACUUAGGUCAAUGUACGCAUGUCUGAUCCAGCCAUGCCGGGUGAGGGAAGAAGGCCUUCGGGUUGUAAACCGCUUGGGUCAGGGAAGAAACGAGUUUCUCUAAUACAGAGACUUAAUGGCGGUACCUGAAGAAUAAGCACCGGCUAACUACGUGCCUGCCGCCGCCGUAACAC
rnacentral:rRNA from 1 species